UACGAAGGGGGCUAGCGUUGCUCGGAUUGACUGGGCGUAAAGGGCGCGUAGGCGGUUCGUACAGUCAGACGUGAAAUUCCUGGGCUCAACCUGGGGGCUGCGUUUGAUACGUGCGGACUUGAGUGCGGAAGAGGGUCGUGGAAUUCCCAGUGUAGGAGGUGAAAUUCGUAGAUAUUGGGAAGAACACCGGUGGCGAAGGCGGCGACCUGGGUAGAUACUGACGCUGAGGCGCGGAAAGCGUGGGGAGCAAACAGGG
rnacentral:rRNA from 1 species